CCUUUUCGGGCCAUGGACUUGAGGUCCCAGGUAUGCCACUAUGGCAAAGAGGUGCCCAAGGUUCCCCAAAGACAGGAAAGGAAAAGACACCCAGAGAUCUGACACCUUCCCGGACGGACCAAGUGGAACGGGACCUCAGGAAUGUCUCAUGGUCCAGUUCUUCAUCCUGAUUGGCUGAGACAUUGAUUCCUGGAGGGAGGGAGAAGACAGACAGUGAAGCUCCUCACACCUCUCCUGGGAGGCCAGAGAUGGGGAAGCUUUGGAUACAUGAAGCCUGAGGGAGUCUCAGCUGGCACUCUCUCCUCUAGACUGACUCCAUCUGUCAGAGGCUGCUCCAAGGCCACCAGGUACCAGUGCACCUCACACAUGACCUCUAAGGAUGGAUUCUUAACCCAGCUCUUCCCACACUCCCUGAGAUGGCACCUUUCGUGCUGGCAAAUCCCCAUUCUGCUAAUCAGCAAGUAAUCUGCUUGUUCCUGCUCUCCCAACUCAGGAUUUACAGCGGUUUAUUUAUAGUUCACCCCUAGGCCUGCCAGGUGGGGUCUCUGACCUUCCCACGGAGGUGACCUGGACCAUAGCCAGUGUCCAGUAACCAGCCCACCACACAUACACUCUAGUCUCUGGGGAAGGCAGGAGGGUGCCCAGGGCUGGUGCUGCUGUAAUGGGGACAGACAGGACAACUGUGCUGUGGCCUGGCUCAGCAUGCAAGCCCUGAACAACCUCAGGAAUGUCCCAUAAGCUCGGGCUCCCUCCAACGAACUGCAUCAGUUUCUAUGGCAACUGGUUAUUCUUGAAUAGUGUGGCUGGUAGAGCCCUCAAGAUCCCCAGGGGCUCAAGGUGUAACAAUAGGAGGUGGGGGACAAAGCUUGAAGCUGGGCCACAUCUGAUCCAACCUUGCAGGAGAGGGGAACAACCAAACAGUAGCCCCCUGGGGGGGGGGGAGGCUGAAGUGUGCUGCCUUUUCCUAGCUCCCAAAGGCCAUGCCUGGGCCCCCUCACUCCCACACCCCCCCCAAGCCGAAGAUCACUGCUCCCAUGCAGAAGAGCAGCUGGCACAGCCUCAGGAAAGGGCUUACUCAGACCAGAGGAAGUCAGGUCCCCCCAACACUGGAGUUACAGGUGUUUGUGAGCUCCCUUGUGAGUGCUUGGAAUUGAAUGUAAGUCUUCUGGAAAAGCAGCCAGUGCUCUUAACCACUGAGCCAUCCUUAAGACCCAGGCCCACCUC